UAAUCCACGCAUUUGAGCCCAUGAGUUAAGGAUGUGGGAUUCAGCGUUUGAAUGUCUGGACACAAAGAUAGGAGGGAAAAGAUUUCUUCUCAGAUGUCUCUUAAGAGCAUUGACUCCAGCUGCGAUCACAGCAUGAGCUGUUCACAUGGUGCAGCAUCAGACAGCACGCAGGGUAAGAAGCUUCCCAGGAUGUCACCAAGGCAGACAAAAAGGGAGAGAAAGAUCAUCGGAAGAGAGGUCUGUGAUCCAGAUAUGAACAGUGACAUGUCUAUGAAAGUGUACUGGCACAGGAGAAGUAUUGGAGGUCCUUGGAUUCAUGCCCAGGCAGAUGCUUUGGUCAAAGCUGCAGGGAGUGGGGUCUGCAGAAAUGGAGUCUAAAAUGGCUCUGAGUUAGGAGCAGCAGCUGCAGAAAACGUGGCCCAGAGAGAAAAUGGAAAUCAAGACAUGCAGGUGUGCAGUGUUGAAAGAGUUUUGCCCUGCAGAAUUCAGUUAACAGUUCAACAAAAGCUGCAUGAACCAGACAAGAUUCCAGCUCUGUCUAGACUCCAGAGACUUGACAUAUGAUAAAACGCGAUAAAAAUUUUACCAUAAGAAUAAAGAUGGGUGGCUGAAUAUGCA
rnacentral:lncRNA from 1 species